CAGCCGCCGCGGGAAUACGUAGGGUGCGAGCGUUAAUCGGAAUUACUGGGCGUGAAGCGUGCGCAGGCGGUUCGUUAAGACAGAUGUGAAAUCCCCGGGCUUAACCUGGGAACUGCAUUUGUGACUGGCGAGCUAGAGUAUGGCAGAGGGGGGUAGAAUUCCACGUGUAGCAGUGAAAUGCGUAGAGAUGUGGAGGAAUACCGAUGGCGAAGGCAGCCCCCUGGGCCAAUACUGACGCUCAUGCACGAAAGCGUGGGGAGCAAACAGGAUUAGAGACCCCCGUAGUCCCUGUCUCUUAUAC
rnacentral:rRNA from 1 species